rnacentral:rRNA from 1 species
GACGAACGCUGGCGGCGUGCCUAAUACAUGCAAGUCGAGCGAAUUUACGAGAGCUUGCUCUCGUAAAUUAGCGGCGGACGGGUGAGUAACACGUGGGCAACCUGCCUAUAAGACCGGGAUAACUUCGGGAAACCGGAGCCAAUACCGGAUAAUUCACAUCUACUCAUGUAGAUGUGCUGAAAGACGGUUUCGUCUGUCACUUAUAGAUGGGCCCGCGGCGCAUUAGCUAGUUUGUGAGGUAACGGCUCACCAAGGCCACGAAGAGUAGCCGACCUGAGAGGGUGAUCGGCCACACUGGGACUGAGACACGGCCCAGACUCCUACGGGAGGCAGCAGUAGGGAAUCUUCCGCAAUGGACGAAAGUCUGACGGAGCAACGCCGCGUGAGUGAUGAAGGUUUUCGGAUCGUAAAACUCUGUUGUUAGGGAAGAACAAGUACCAGAGUAGCUGCUGGUACCUUGACGGUACCUAACCAGAAAGCCACGGCUAACUACGUGCCAGCCGCCGCCGUAA